GCAAACUUGGUCAUUUAGAGGAAGUAAAAGUCGUAACAAGGUCUCCGUAGGUGAACCUGCGGAGGGAUCAUUACUGAACGGCCCCAUGGGCCUUCAACCCCAUCAAACCUGUGGACCUCAAUCCGUGCUUCGGCGCCGUGGAAGCGGCGUCGCCUUUAUGCAUAAAGCUGGAUCUAGUCUGAUUCAAUCAAGAAGAUUUAAAACUUUCAACAAAGGAUCUCUUGGCUCUCCUGCGGAGGGAUCAUUACUGAACGGCCCCAUGGGCCUUCAACCCCAUCAAACCUGUGGACCUCAAUCCGUGCUUCGGCGCCGUGGAAGCGGCGUCGCCUUUAUGCAUAAAGCUGGAUCUAGUCUGAUUCAAUCAAGAAGAUUUAAAACUUUCAACAAAGGAUCUCUUGGCUCUCGCAUCGAUGAAGAACGCAGC
rnacentral:misc_RNA from 1 species